rnacentral:rRNA from 1 species
GUACACAAAAAUGCACAUGCUGUGAGCUCGAUGAGUAGGGCGGGACACGUGGUAUCCUGUCUGAAUAUGGGGGGACCAUCCUCCAAGGCUAAAUACUCCUGACUGACCGAUAGUGAACCAGUACCGUGAGGGAAAGGCGAAAAGAACCCCGGCGAGGGGAGUGAAAAAGAACCUGAAACCGUGUACGUACAAGCAGUGGGAGCCUCUUUAUGGGGUGACUGCGUACCUUUUGUAUAAUGGGUCAGCGACUUAUAUUCUGUAGCAAGGUUAACCGAAUAGGGGAGCCGGAGGGAAACCGAGUCUUAACUGGGCGUUAAGUUGCAGGGUAUAGACCCGAAACCCGGUGAUCUAGCCAUGGGCAGGUUGAAGGUUGGGUAACACUAACUGGAGGACCGAACCGACUAAUGUUGAAAAAUUAGCGGAUGACUUGUGGCUGGGGGUGAAAGGCCAAUCAAACCGGGAGAUAGCUGGUUCUCCCCGAAAGCUAUUUAGGUAGCGCCUCGUGAAUUCAUCUCCGGGGGUAGAGCACUGUUUCGGCAAGGGGGUCAUCCCGACUUACCAACCCGAUGCAAACUGCGAAUACCGGAGAAUGUUAUCACGGGAGACACACGGCGGGUGCUAACGUCCGUCGUGAAGAGGGAAACAACCCAGACCGCCAGCUAAGGUCCCAAAGUCAUGGUUAAGUGGGAAACGAUGUGGGAAGGCCCAGACAGCCAGGAUGUUGGCUUAGAAGCAGCCAUCAUUUAAAGAAAGCGUAAUAGCUCACUGGUCGAGUCGGCCUGCGCGGAAGAUGUAACGGGGCUAAACCAUGCACCGAAGCUGCGGCAGCGACGCUGAUGCGUUGUUGGGUAGGGGAGCGUUCUGUAAGCCUGUGAAGGUGUGCUGUGAGGCAUGCUGGAGGUAUCAGAAGUGCGAAUGCUGACAUAAGUAA